ACAAAUGAGUUUGAUUAUAUAUGAAGCUGAGACAUGAGACAUGACUAACUUUUGCUCUUUAUGAACAUGCUGCUCUUUGUCUUACUAUCAAGUAAAUAUUGAAGGUUAAGAUAUUGCUGAUGAUGUGCAGCUGAUGAUUGAUGCUGAUACGAGUCUCGGUGUGUUUGAGCAGCUCAUGUUUUCAUCAGAACAGUAUCUGUGAGGUUUAAUGCAUCAUGCAGUGCGGCUUCUCCCCGUGAUUCCUGAACAGAAGCAAUCAGCACUUGGUCAUUGAUUAUGUGUUAGAGUCCACGAGGAUGAAUCCUGUCAGACGCCGAUCAUCUGUCACUGCACCAGGGAGGCUCAAAACUGCUUUGAUUAUUGCCUGAACCGGCUGAACUUCUCAGAAGGCUAUUGUUUCGUCGAGGGGAGCGGCAGCUCUUAAAACUAGGCCAGCCAACACUGAG